AUCAAGGACAACACUGGUGAGGCCACCACCAAGGCGAUGGACAUCUUCAACACCCAUGGUUCUCCUAAGGUCAUCUUAAGUGACCGAGGUCGUGAACUCUGGAACAAGGUUUGGAUGAACAAACCAACCACACCCCUAAGACUGCCAUGGGCAAGUCCCUUGACGGGUUCCAGGCACAGGAGAAACAGAAGGAGAGCAACCGGAGGAGAAUCAAGGAGGGGACCGACAUCCGGGCGAAUGACUUGGUUUAGAAGAAGGACGAAAGGAAGCGAGACCUGAGAAUCCUUGCUGCUCUGUUGCUCCUAGCUUGGGUCACCACCCAUAAGGGUGAUUAUAAAAAUCUGAUGACAACCAUUUGCCUCCUCGCAAUGGCCGGCAUCGCCAUGCUGUCAGCAGUACCAACACUGGCCCAGGGGUUUCUCCAAAUAGUCAAUGUCAAGGCUAAGUACUGGGUCACAUUAAGUAACCUCUGCUGCCAGGUAGGUACUGAUAAGGUGUAUGACUCCAGUGGUUGUGACACCACACCAGAGUUUCUAUCACAACUCGCCUCAUCUUUUCCAGGGACCAUCCCUUACCUUCCUCAUCCACCUCACUGACAUAAAACAUUACAGACAGGCAUCCUUUCUUUUCUGUUCGCCAUUAACAUUAUUGCAUUUCUAAUCAAACAGUUCAAUUAAAUCAUUCACUAACUAUUGUUUUUUACAUAACCUGUGUGUUUACUUCUCUGCCUUCUACCCUGUUCCCUUUACACUGCUCCUGUUCUCCAGGACCUAGGGGUUCUACCCAAAACCCAGACGUGGAUCCACCUGAUGUCCUCCAUUACCAACCACCCUCCAACUUUUCAUUACAUCAUCUACAGCUACUGUUGUCAAUAUCUGCUAAGAAAUAAUCUUGCUCUAUCAUACUGGGCACAUACUGUGAGAUACACAGAUUAACUAAAAAAUACUAGCAUUGCAAACACUCAGAACAAACAGAGCAGCAGUGCCUGGACUUCGAUGUCUAACUCUUUGAGUCCCCCUUCCGAGACUGAUUGCCUGUUGAGAACAAGUGACAGGCAGAACCUCCCACUCACACAGCACCCACCUCCUCUCUAUUCCACUCACCAGAAUUCAGUAUUUCAGGCUCUGAUUGCCAUGUGAGUGAAACAUCUGUGAAAGUAAAUUGACACUGAACAAGAUCUUUGAUAGGCUAGAAAACUAUGCAUCGUGGAGUUAAUCAUUGUUAUAGCCUAGAUCACUUUAUAUAAUCUGGACCGUUGUUUUUUCUAAGGCUAAGCAAACAACGGGUAGCGUAUUUUUUUAAUCCGUCUCUAUAACAAGGUUUAGGCCUAUAUCCUCACAUACCGUCUCAAUUUGAGCCCUGCUUUUAACCAUAAGACAUCUCUCCAGAAAUGUUUUGCCUAUGGAUUGCAUGGUGACAGCGAUUGUGUCUGUUAAACCAGUAAACUGGGAAGUCUGGUGAAAAAACGAGGUCAAAUCAUGACAUCUGUGAUUUUAAGGUCUGAGAAAGAUGCACGUUUCUUAAUUGGAAUUCCAAUUUGAAUGAACAAUUUUUCCCAGUCUGAGCUUGUUUUCCCCGAGUUCCCAGUUGUCAUGAAUGCAGCACUAAAUUUGAAAGUCAGAGAUUGCCGAGGUCCCGGUUGUUUUGAAUGUGCCACUAAAGACCUAGACUGUCUCUUAUUUCUGAAUAGUGCUACCUCCAACAAAGAAGCCCUUGUGUCUGUAUUGAUGUGAGAAAUAGGCAUAUCUACACAUUAAUGGGGGCUGGCUGCGAUAUCAACUAGCCUAAUCAUUUUUGUAUGAAGUGAUAUGCCUAUUUUAGCUAAAUCGACAAAUGAACUUGAUUAGAUUACUCUGGCAAUUAAAUUUUAUUUUUACAAAAUAAUGUACAUGUAGACCUUUGUAAGGCGUUCAUGGUGAGAUUGUUCAUAAUAAAUUUACAAGCAAACUGACACGUGACGUGUCAGUGCCACAUUUCACGACAUGACCACUACGUCUACAUGACAUGUACAUGUCACGUGACAUGAACGUGACGUCAGUUUGACGCCUUAUAUUGUUUUACAAAAGAGAGAGAGAGAGGCUUGUGGAAAGUGAAAGUGGUAAGCAUUAUCAGGACUAUAAUCUCCUUCAAUAUGUGUCUUUACACACCUAGGCCUAGGCUAUUGAUUGAUUCAAAACAUUGAUCUCAGUUUGUCAGUUUCAAAGUAGCCUGCCAUUUUGAUACUUUUUGUGUUAUUAACAAAGAUUCAGCCAAAGUAUCCAGUCAUGUAAAAUGAUGUAGAAUUGCA